UACGAAGGGGGCUAGCGUUGCUCGGAAUCGCUGGGCGUAAAGGGUGCGUAGGCGGGUCUUUAAGUCAGAGGUGAAAUCCUGGAGCUCAACUCCAGAACUGCCUUUGAUACUGAGGAUCUUGAGUUCGGGAGAGGUGAGUGGAACUGCGAGUGUAGAGGUGAAAUUCGUAGAUAUUCGCAAGAACACCAGUGGCGAAGGCGGCUCACUGGCCCGAUACUGACGCUGAGGCACGAAAGCGUGGGGAGCAAACAGG
rnacentral:rRNA from 1 species